rnacentral:rRNA from 1 species
GGAGUCUGGACCGUGUCUCAGUUCCAAUGUGGGGGACCUUCCUCUCAGAACCCCUAGCCAUCGUCGGCACGGUGGGCCGUUACCCCGCCGUCUACCUAAUGGCACGCGAGCCGAUCCGUAUGCAAUAAAUCUUUCAACAAAUCCCCAUGCGAGGAUCUGUGUUACGGGGUAUUACGCGACGUUUCCAUCGACUAUCCCCCACAUACGGGCACGUUGCUCACGCGUUACUCACCCUUUCGCCGGUCGCCGGCAUGUAUUGCUACACCCGCUGCCCCUCGACUUGCAUGUGUUAAGCCUGCCGCUAGCGUUCAUC